CUCCACCGCGGCGGGCUGCCAUUCCUCCGACUAUGGCGCCGCCGUGCCAGCACCUCCUGCAUCCGGCAUGGAGAAGGGAUCAGGGGCGCCACCGUCGGCAAUGUUGUACAUGCGUCGGGUUCAGUAAUUUCAGCAACGUCGCCGGUAGCUUCUCGUCUAACACAUAGCCGAGUGGCUAGCUGAACUGGAGCAUCCAAACGCCGCACUCUCCAGUAUGAGGAGGUAGCUUUGCACACAGAUGUGCACAAACAUUUCCCUCUCUACGAAUGAAAGACAGAGUAAAAGAAAGUACCAUAUUAUAUGGUUUUUAUGCUCAGUUUAGAUACUUACAUAGUCAACAAUAUUAGUACUUUUGCAGAAGGAAAGAAGUCCCUACAGCGAUUGGAAAGAAAAAGUUUUUCUAGAUAAUUAAAGGCCCUGCAUACAUAAUAUCAUUCAUGUGUCUUGUUUUAUAUUUUUGUUUGUUCAUGUCGUGUGUGUGUGUGUGUUUCCUUUCGAUGUAGCCGGAGUUGGUAUUAGGAGGAGAAACAUGGCAGCAUGUGCAAUUGUAUUGAACUGAGUGGCGUCUUUGCAUGCUAGUUAAAACCUACCAAUGCCACCUUUCCUUUUAAGUUUUUGAAUGCAAGGUUAAUGAAAUAUGGUAGGAUCAAAUCUUUCAAUUGCAACAUGUAUGCAUUCCAUGCUUUUCUUGCAAAAAGAUUUAAACCAACUUUCAUCUCUUAAAUAACACAUGUAAAAUUAUACGCCGACAUGUUUUUUUUCUUUCAUUACUUUGACAUAUCAAAGGGCGAUGGAUCGAGGUUGGAUGAGUCAACCAAGAACUAGUGUUGCUUACAAAGAUGGUGUCGGGCAAUUUCUGUC